GAUGAACGCUGGCGGUAUGCUUAACACAUGCAAGUCGAACGGACUCUUCGGAGUUAGUGGCGGACGGGUGAGUAACGCGUGAGAAUCUGGCUUUGGGUUCGGGACAACCACUGGAAACGGUGGCUAAUACCGGAUGUGCCGAGAGGUAAAAGAGAAAUUGCCUGAAGAUGAGCUCGCGUCUGAUUAGCUAGUUGGUGAGGUAAAGGCUCACCACGGCAGCGAUCAGUAGCUGGUCUGAGAGGAUGACCAGCCACACUGGGACUGAGACACGGCCCAGACUCCUACGGGGGGCAGCAGUGGGGAAUGUUCCGCAAUGGGCGAAAGCCUGACGGAGCAAUACCGCGUGAGGGAAGAAGUCUCUUGGGUUGUAAACCUCUUUUCUUAGGGAAGAACAAAAUGACGGUACCUAAGGAAUCAGCAUCGGCUAACUCCGUG
rnacentral:rRNA from 1 species